rnacentral:rRNA from 1 species
CACUGGUACUCGAGUGGCGAACGGGUGAGUAACACGUGGGUGAUCUGCCUUGCACUCUGGGAUAAGCUUGGGAAACUGGGUCUAAUACCGGAUAGGAACCGUCUUUAGUGUGGUGGUUGGAAAGUUUUUCGGUGCAAGAUGAGCUCGCGGCCUAUCAGCUUGUUGGUGGGGUAAUGGCCUACCAAGGCGUCGACGGGUAGCCGGCCUGAGGGGGUGUACGGCCACAUUGGGACUGAGAUACGGCCCAG